rnacentral:rRNA from 1 species
GACGAACGCUGGCGGCGUGCUUAACACAUGCAAGUCGAACGGAAAGGCCCUGCUUUUGUGGGGUGCGCGAGGGGCGAACGGGUGAGUAACACGUGAGUAACCUGCCCUUGACUUUGGGAUAACUUCAGGAAACUGGGGCUAAUACCGGAUAGGAGCUCCUGCUGCAUGGUGGGGGUUGGAAAGUUUCGGCGGUUGGGGAUGGACUCGCGGCUUAUCAGCUUGUUGGUGGGGUAGUGGCUUACCAAGGCUUUGACGGGUAGCCGGCCUGAGAGGGUGACCGGCCCCACUGGGCCUGAGAUGCGGCCCAGCCUCCUCCGGGAGGCAGCAGUGGGGAAUAUUGCACAAUGGGCGGAAGCCUGAUGCAGCACCGCCGCGUGCGGGAUGACGGCCUUCGGGCUGUAAACCGCUUUCGCCUGUGCCGAAGCGUGAGUGACGGUACUGGGUAAAGAAGCACCGGCUAACUCCGUG